UACGGAGGGAGCUAGCGUUGUUCGGAAUUACUGGGCGUAAAGCGCACGUAGGCGGCUUUGUAAGUUAGAGGUGAAAGCCCGGGGCUCAACUCCGGAACUGCCUUUAAAACUGCAUCGCUUGAAUCCAGGAGAGGUGAGUGGAAUUCCGAGUGUAGAGGUGAAAUUCGUAGAUAUUCGCAAGAACACCAGUGGCGAAGGCGGCUCACUGGCCCGGUACUGACGCUGAGGUGCGAAAGCGUGGGGAGCAAACAGG
rnacentral:rRNA from 1 species